GUAGACAGUAAAAGCUCCUGGAACUUUUGAAUUUCCUGUUUGGUCACCAUCAGCACAGUCCAACAUCACAGGCGACCACGCAGUCCCGGAUUCGCAGACGAACUCCAGCAUGGUCCAAAUGGGAGGUACUGGAUCUCAUUGCAUGUUGGGGAGAUGAAUCUGUUAUGGCAGAACUACGU